GGUAUAGCCCAGUGGUACAGCGCCUGCCUGGAAAGCAUAAAGUCCUGGGUUUGAUUCCCAAUAUC
rfam:Cavia porcellus supercont2_131 genomic scaffold, whole genome shotgun sequence.